CGGAAAUGAUCUUAGCAGCAACAUUUCGAAGGGACUUGAAAAGGGCAAGUUUGCAAGCAUUAAGGCCAUGGAGGUGCUUACCCUAGUCAAGGCAUGAGAUGCUCAGGACUUAGCUGGCUACCAAAUACUGCAAAAGUCCCAUUGACUUCAGUUGGAGUUAGAGAUCAGGAUCAGUGGAGGUAUAAAAAAAUAGGUAGAAGGGAACACCGUAAGUAAAAUGAGUGUGUGAUGUUCGGCUGGUGGAAAGGAUCUAGUGAAAAUAUUGAGAGCGGUGACUCUUCUUGCCCGAUUUUUGAAAACCUGCUUGCAGAGAAAGAUCGUUCCCCAUCAGAAGUGGACUAGGUGCGCUCAGUAAGC